rnacentral:lncRNA from 1 species
CGACGUCAAUCAACCAAGAUUUGGGCAUCAGGAUGAAAAGCAUACCUAAAUUAUCACCCAUUCGUGAACACACCAUCGUCCUCCAAAGCAACGAAAGCGACUAUCGAGGAAAUGCAUGGUGAGUCCCACACAUGAUGAAGAUGAUGAGAAGUCGAUAAAAAGCGGAAAGCAACGAGACUUCCCACCCCGUACGCCCAUGAUUAGACUCUCGGUCAUUGUUCCCAACAGUGGGGGACUGUUGAUCGUCAACGCCCACUAUAUCGGCGAGAAGAACACGGUCGAGCGGGCGAGAUGACGAAGGGGCGGAUGCCACUUCGAGCUAGCUGAGAUGACGGAGGAACGAGGCCGGCAGAAUGAUCACCUCCCCAUGUGCCCUUGUCAUCAUCUGGCUCAACCCUGAACUCUCCCUCGAGCUUACGGUGGCGUGGCGUUGCCGAGCGAUAAGUGCCAUGGUCGCGGCCGCUGUACUCCUUUUCCACUACGGGGAACCAGUGGCCACCUUAUCUGGAGAUGGUAGGUCCAGGUGCUGCAGACAGAGACCAGAGCAAAGGACGUCCCUAGUUUUGAUAAGAUUUCUUCGGUGUUAAUUGAUUCAAGACUCUCUCUCUCUCUCUCUCUCUCUCUAUUAUUCUUUCUCUCUCUGCUAUGAUCAGGAUUACCCUGUGUUACAGAUGAACUGUAAAAAGCAGGAGACACCUUGUGCUUUGGAAAUGUUUAUCGGACUUGGCUAUCUUCGGAAGGAAGAAAAAGGAAGCAAGAAAGAAAGAAAUGGGGUUGGAAUCUGCAGUCCUGUGGCAAUUACACCAUCAUAUUCUCCAUGUUUAUAUUGCUUUUGUUGCAGGCAAAAAGAAGAGAGUCACCAAAUGGUUGGGACAUUGUGAAACAGUGGACUUGGUUUGCACUCCAUGUUCUUGGACCUUGGUGGUUGGAUGGCAUGAAUGGACGACACGGACUGUCGACAAAUCGACAUACGUGAACUAUUUGGAUCUGAUCCCAACAUGAUAUCUCAAAUGUGUCUAAAGACCUCGUAGCGUCCUUUCAGGAGCAGUGAUGGUGGACGCCCAUGUUAUCGUAUCUACCUAAUGGCAUCUCGACCCAGGGAAAACUCCAGUCGCAUGAUUGACACGCACCCACUUUGCCAGCCAAAUAUGGAUGAAGAUGCACCAGCGU